GCCUGGCGUCAAAUCUGAUACCGGAGGCAGUUAGACGGCUGGAGGAGGACCCGCUUGCUUCGGGGCGAUGGCAGUGAGGCCCGCGGGUGGGGGUAUGGGGGCGGCGUCUCCAGCAACCGCCUGUCCCCGACGUGGAAGGCAGAGCGCCUCCUCGAUUCAGAGCCUCAAGUGUUAACAGGAUGCGUCUUGUGUUUAAAUCGCCGCCUCCUUCCACCCAACAAGCUCCGGGGACUUCCGGCCUCAGAACACACCUCUGUGACUCCCCCGUGGCUUACCCUGUCACAGGUGUCCCUCGGCCAAAGUGGGGGUACCUCUGGCUGCCCUGCACCCCCUCCCCUUCCCACCCCAAGUGGGGCUGCCUCAUUCCCCCUCGUGUUUUCCCACAUCAUUGAAAGCCCCUUCCUACCGGGGAGGCAUCGAGGGCUGGCACUGGGCUUGGUGUGGGAUCGGCGGCUAAUAUUCCCACUAAA